rnacentral:rRNA from 1 species
GAUGAACGCUAGCUACAGGCUUAACACAUGCAAGUCGAGGGACCGGCGCACGGGUGAGUAACACGUACACAACCUGCCCUUUACUCGGGGAUAGCCUUUCGAAAUAAAGAUUAAUACACGAUGAAAAGGAUGGGGAUGCGUUCCAUUAGGUUGUUGGUGAGGUAACAGCUCACCAAGCCUUCGAUGGAUAGGGGUUCUGAGAGGAAGGUCCUCCACAUUGGAACUGAGACACGGUCCAAACUCCUACGGGAGGCAGCAGGGAGGAAUAUUGGUCAAUGGGCGUUAGCCUGAACCAGCCAAGUAGCGUGAAGGAUGAAGGGUUAUGGGUCGUAAACUUCUUUUAUAUAAGAAUAUGUAUUAUAUGAAUAAGGAUCGGCUAACUCCGUGCCAGCAGCCGCGGUAAUAC